ACGCCAUUGGAGCUGCUGCUGUGCUGCGGCGGCUGCUUCUCUGGCUCUGGGGGGUGCGGUUCUCGCCGCGGCUCGCCCGGCUGCUCCACGGGCUGCUGAAGCGUACUGUCGUCGCCAGCGGCCCCGAGCACCUCGGGCUUGUCGGCGUCCGCCAUCCCGCUGCCGAUGCCUCCGCCUCCGCCUCGGCCGCCUGCGCUGAGAGGCUCCGAGCGCUACAAUGGCGGCGGCCGGGAAAGCGGUAACGGAUCCCGAUUUGAAAAGGCCCGGAGCGCUCAGUUGUCCGGAUCUCGCGAGAACCGAUCGAGGCUGGGAGCCUGGGAGAGGGGGCAGUUAAAAUGAACGAAGCACACACCACUUUGCAUCUUUAAAGACGUCUGCAAAUCUUCAGACUCCCCUUAGAAAUCCUUUGAAUAAUGCAAAUAAAUCACUUGUCACUUAAA